UCGCUUGGGGGCAAAUGCAGCUAGAGUUUGGGUAGAUGUAGUGAAGAUAGAUGAUGCAGCAGUUUGGAGGCCAUCAGAUGAAAUCGAGUAUAUGAGAGAUUCACUUGGUUCAUCUAUUGCAUGGCCAAUGGAUAAGUUGGUCAUCUAUUGAGUAGAUGAAGAAACUGGGGGAAUGAAGAAACUUUGGUCCAGAUUAGGUAGUUUUAAUUAGUUUAAGACUAGACUAAUCAGCUUCUGUUAUGUACUUUGGAAUCAGACUUGUUAUGUCUUUUGGAUUUAGACUUGUUAUGUUGAAUGAUUCUGUAUAACUUUCUAACUUUUGAAUUGGAAUCAGACUUAUGUUACAAUUUA